GUGAAGAUUGCUCAGUGGUAGAGUGCUUGCCUCGCAUGCAUGAGGCCCUGGGUUCAAUUCCUCAGUACCACA
rnacentral:tRNA from 1 species